UACAGAGGUCUCAAGCGUUGUUCGGAAUUACUGGGCGUAAAGGGCGCGUAGGCGGCUUGGCAAGUGGAUGGUGAAAUCCCUCGGCUUAACCGAGGAACUGCCGUCCAAACUGCUUCGCUUGAGACCGGGAGAGGUGAGUGGAAUUCCCAGUGUAGCGGUGAAAUGCGUAGAUAUUGGGAGGAACACCAGUGGCGAAGGCGGCUCACUGGACCGGUACUGACGCUGAUGCGCGAAAGCGUGGGGAGCAAACGGG
rnacentral:rRNA from 1 species